ensembl:lncRNA
AAAAAAAAAAAAAAAAAAAAAAAAAUGAAUAAUGUAACACAUAACACAUCCAUAGAAAGUUGUUUGAAUAUAUAUUUUCCAAUUAAUUUUAAUUGUAAUAAUAAUAAUAAUAAAUCAGUUUAUUACUUGUAUGGAAUUUCAAAUGAAAACACUUAUGUCAUAAUUGAUAUUACUGAUAAAUAUAUUGAAAAAUUUGAAGAUUGCAAAAGUAAUAACAAAAAGGUAAAAUGGGCUUUUUUUCGAUUAUUAGGAGAAAUUGUUUUUAUAAAUGAUUUACAACAUGUAGCAAAAGAUUGUUGUUUUUCAAAAGAAAAUAAAAACAAUAAUAAAUUGAAUUAUUUAUAUUUUAUUUAUUAUAAAAACAAACCAAGAUUUAUUAAAAAAAAUGGAAUAACAGAAGAAAAUGUAACAAAUGCUUUAUUUAUUUUGUAUAAUGUAAAAAAAUAUAUUUAUAACAUUUGUGAUGACCAUGUAAGUAAGUUAACUACAAAAGCUUUAGGAAAAAAUGAUUAUGACCAACAUAAACAACAAAAACAGUAUGAUAAUAAUGUCCUAAAGGAAGAAAAAAAAAAAAAAAAAAAAAAAUAUAUAUAUAUAAACAAAAAUAUAAACCAAAAUCUAAACCAAAAUCUAAACCAAAAUCUAAACCAAAAUNNNNNNNNNNCUAAACCAAAAUCUAAACCAAAAUCUAAACCAAAAUCUAAACCAAAACCAAGACAAACAUAACAGUGAGAGUGAUAUAGAUAAUAAAUUUAAUAAUUUACCCACUAGUAGAUUAAUGUAUGAUGAAAAAUUAGAAUUUGAUUUUUUUUUAAUUCAACAACAAAUUGACUCUUUUGUUAAAGACAAAACAAAUAAAAUACUUAACAAAAAUGGAAGUUUUUUAAAUGAACUGAAUGAAUUAUUUUUUUUUCAAAGUGGAUCGAUAAAUAUAAAUGACAUAACUGGUAACAAUGGUGAUAACAGUAGUGAUAACAGUAGUGACGACAGUAGUGAAGACAGUAGUGAAGACAGUAGUGAAGACAGUAAUGAAGACAGUGAUGACAAUAAAAAGAAUAUACACAGACAAAACAAUAAUAAGUUAAUAUAUUACGAUUUUACAGAAAACAAAAUAUACAAAUCAUUAAAUAUGAACAAUAUACUUAAUUUUAUUAAUAAAUGCGAUAUAUAUAGUGAAGAAAUAAAAAACUAUGACACGAAUAAUAGUAACAACAAUAGUAGUAAUAAUAAAAAAGAAGAGAGUAAAAAAAAAAAAAAAAAAAAAUAUAUACAUAUAUUAUUUUUUUCAAUAAUUUUUUUAUGUACCUAUAUUAUUUCAAUUAUUAAUAAAAGUAUAUAUAAUAUAGUUUACAUAUUUGAGUUUGUAAUAAAAAAAAUGUUUCCUACUAGAAAAAUAUAUAUAUUAAACUUAAUUAAAGAACGUUCAUAUAUAUAUUCUAAAUUGCAUUUUAUAGUAAAUAAUUUAAUUGAAUAUAAAAAUUCUUUAAAGUAUUAUAAAAAUAAACAAAUUUUAUGUAUUCGAUUAUUUAGUUUAUUUUAUGAUCAAUGUUUAGGUAUUAUCCUAUAUUUUAUAUUUUCUUAUAAUAUAAUCAAUUUGGUUCAUAUACACGACACAAUUAAAAAGUUUUAUGACACCAAUACGUUAACAUCUGUUUUAGGUGCACUGUUACAAAACACAUGGGGAUUAAAACUAAAUAAUAACUUUACGUCUUUCAUUGGUAGUGUCAUAAUUUCUAUAUUAGAUAUUUGGUAAGUGCAUGGAGACGACACAAUGGGAUAUAUGUUAUGUCCAUAUACGCAAAAAAAAAAA